rnacentral:rRNA from 1 species
GGCCCGCAUUGUAAUUUGUAGAGGAUGAUUCGGCGAGGGCUCCCGCCUAAGUCCCCUGGAACGGGGCGUCAUAGAGGGUGAGAAUCCCGUAUGCGGUGGGUUGCCUUAGCCAUGUGAAUCUCCUUCGACGAGUCGAGUUGUUUGGGAAUGCAGCUCUAAAUGGGAGGUAAAUUUCUUCUAAAGCUAAAUACCGGCCAGAGACCGAUAGCGCACAAGUAGAGUGAUCGAAAGAUGAAAAGCACUUUGGAAAGAGAGUUAAAAAGUACGUGAAAUUGUUGAAAGGGAAGGGCUUGCAACCAGACUUGUCCGCAGUUGCUCAACUGGUCUCCUGACCGGUGUACUCUUCUGCGGCCAGGCCAGCAUCAGUUCAGGCGGUCGGAUAAAGACCUUGGGAAUGUAGCUCCUCUCGGGGAGUGUUAUAGCCCAGGGUGGAAUGCGGCCAGCUUGGACUGAGGAUCUCGCUUCGGCAAGGAUGCUGGCGUAAUGGUUGUAAGCCGCCCGUCUUGAAACACGGACCAAGGAGUCUAACAUCUAUGCGAGUGUUUGGGUGUCAAACCCAUACGCGUAAUGAAAGUGAACGGAGGUGGGAACCCGCAAGGGUGCACCAUCGGCCGAUCCUGAUGUCUUCGGAUGGAUUUGAGCAAGAGCAUAGCUGUUGGGACCCGAAAGAUGGUGAACUAUGCCUGAAUAGGGUGAAGCCAGAGGAAACUCUGGUGGAGGCUCGCAGCGGUUCUGACGUGCAAAUCGAUCGUCAAAUUUGGGUAUAG